rnacentral:rRNA from 1 species
UACGGGGGGUGCGAGCGUUGUCCGGAAUCACUGGACGUAAAGGGCGCGUAGGUGGUUUGAUAAGGGUGUGGUGAAAGUCCGGGGCUCAACCCCGGAUCUGCCGUGCCGACUGUCAAACUCGAGGACUGUAGAGGCAGACGGAAUUCCGGGUGUAGCGGUGGAAUGCGUAGAGAUCCGGAGGAAGACCGGUGGCGAAGGCGGUCUGCUGGGCAGUUUCUGACACUGAGGCGCGACAGCGUGGGGAGCAAACAGG